rnacentral:rRNA from 1 species
UAGGGAAUCUUCCGCAAUGGACGCAAGUCUGACGGAGCAACGCCGCGUGAGUGAAGAAGGAUUUCGGUUCGUAAAACUCUGUUGUUAGAGAAGAACAGCGCAUAGAGUAACUGUUAUGCGUGUGACGGUAUCUAACCAGAAAGCCACGGCUAACUACGUGCCAGCAGCCGCGGUAAUACGUAGGUGGCAAGCGUUGUCCGGAUUUAUUGGGCGUAAAGCGAGCGCAGGCGGUCAAUUAAGUCUGAUGUGAAAGCCCCCGGCUCAACCGGGGAGGGUCAUUGGAAACUGGUUGACUUGAGUGCAGAAGAGGAGAGUGGAAUUCCAUGUGUAGCGGUGAAAUGCGUAGAUAUAUGAAGGAACACCAGUGGCGAAGGCGACUCUCUGGUCUGUAACUGACGCUGAGGCUCGAAAGCGUGGGUAGCAAACAGG